UACAGAGGGGGCAAGCGUUAUUCGGAAUUAUUGGGCGUAAAGGGCGCGUAGGCGGCUUUGCAAGUGACGGGUGAAAUCCCUCGGCUUAACCGAGGAACUGCCUGUCAGACUGCAUGGCUUGAGACCGGGAGAGGUGAGUGGAAUUCCCAGUGUAGCGGUGAAAAUGCGUAGAUAUUGGGAGGAACACCAGUGGCGAAGGCGGCUCACUGGACCGGAACUGACGCUGAGGCGGCGAAAGCGUGGGGAGCAAACAGG
rnacentral:rRNA from 1 species